CAGAUUGAACGCUGGCGGCAGGCCUAACACAUGCAAGUCGAGCGGAUGAAGGGAGCUUGCUCCUGGAUUCAGCGGCGGACGGGUGAGUAAUGCCUAGGAAUCUGCCUGGUAGUGGGGGAUAACGUCCGGAAACGGGCGCUAAUACCGCAUACGUCCUACGGGAGAAAGCAGGGGACCUUCGGGCCUUGCGCUAUCAGAUGAGCCUAGGUCGGAUUAGCUUGUUGGUGAGGUAAUGGCUCACCAAGGCUGCGAUCCGUAACUGGUCUGAGAGGAUGAUCAGUCACACUGGAACUGAGACACGGUCCAGACUCCUACGGGAGGCAGCAGUGGGGAAUAUUGGACAAUGGGCGAAAGCCUGAUCCAGCCAUGCCGCGUGUGUGAAGAAGGUCUUCGGAUUGUAAAGCACUUUAAGUUGGGAGGAAGGGUUGUAGGUUAAUACCCUGCAAUUUUGACGUUACCGACAGAAUAAGCACCGGCUAACUUCGUGCCAGCAGCCGCGGUAAUACGAAGGGUGCAAGCGUUAAUCGGAAUUACUGGGCGUAAAGCGCGCGUAGGUGGUUUGUCAAGUUGGAAGUGAAAGCCCCGGGCUCAACCUGGGAACUGCUUUCAAAACUGGCAAGCUAGAGUAUGGCAGAGGGUGGUGGAAUUUCCUGUGUAGCGGUGAAAUGCGUAGAUAUAGGAAGGAACAUCAGUGGCGAAGGCG
rnacentral:rRNA from 1 species